rnacentral:lncRNA from 1 species
GCAUCGGUGGUCGGAAAGAGAGGAAGAUGGCCCGAUCGAUCAGAGCAAAAUAGGAGUUCUUACUUUUGCGGAUUUUUUGGCAAAUCCGAUGGCUGACGACGGCAUCCAAGGCCACGAGAAGAUGAGAAAGAAGGAGAGAAAGAAGGGUUGGUGUUUACCUUGGGCUUCAGCAGCAGUGUUGUCGGUUCUAAUUUUCGACGAGCACGAUUACGGGAGGC